UUGAUAUUUUUUAUAUAUAUUUUGAAUAAUUGUUGUUUUCUUUUCUAUCUUUUCUUUCCUCACCGUUUGUCCCUCAUGUGUUUGCCAAACGAUCAAUGUGCAAAUGCCAAUAUAAAACUCAAUCACGACGACGAGUUUGCCAAUAUUCUCAAUGCCUUUUGGCUAACUGCGAUCACGUUUCUCUGUGUGGGAUACGGUGAUAUAGUGCCCAACACUUACUGCGGACGUGGCAUAACGUUGACUUGUGGCAUGGUGAUUUCACGACGAGGAACAUGCGAACCUGCUUAACUCGAUGUGGCUGAUUGCUAUUACAUUUUUGAGCGUUGGCUUCGGCGACAUAGUGCCCAAUACGUAUUGCGGCCGUGGAAUCGCUGUCAGUACUGGAAUAAUGG